rnacentral:rRNA from 1 species
AUUGAACGCUGGCGGAAUGCUUUACACAUGCAAGUCGAACGGUAGAGGGGGCAACCCCUCGAGAGUGGCGAACGGGUGAGUAAUACAUCGGAACGUGCCCAGUCGUGGGGGAUAACGUAGCGAAAGUUACGCUAAUACCGCAUACGAUCUACGGAUGAAAGAGGGGGACCGUAAGGCCUCGCGCGAUUGGAGCGGCCGAUGUCAGACUAGGUAGUUGGUGAGGUAAAGGCUCACCAAGCCGACGAUCUGUAGCUGGUCUGAGAGGACGACCAGCCACACUGGGACUGAGACACGGCCCAGACUCCUACGGGAGGCAGCAGUGGGGAAUUUUGGACAAUGGGCGCAAGCCUGAUCCAGCCAUUCCGCGUGCAGGACGAAGGCCUUCGGGUUGUAAACUGCUUUUGUACGGAACGAAAAGGCUCUGGUUAAUACCUGGGGCUCAUGACGGUACCGUAAGAAUAAGCACCGGCUAACUACGUGCCAGCAGCCGCCGUAA